AUUUAUGGAAAAAUAAUAUUAUUCACCUAAAUAAAGAAUUACGACACAUAUACAAUACAAUUCUAAUUAAUGAUAAUAUAAAAUCUGUUACUUCUAAAACUAUACACUAUUUAUCCUAUUUUUUGAAUGAAAGUAUCUUCGUAAGCACACAAAAUAUUUUGUGAUGUUGCAAUUAUACAUACACACAAUAUAUGCCUCUUCAUACUGACGUUAUUGUGUUCCCUCUCGUGAGGUACGGGCCGAGAGAGAACACAGGGUACGGACCGAUCAUGUUCUUAUGCCCGCACAGGGUGCGGGCCGGUCACCUAGUAAUCUAUUAUAUAAUAAGAGAGUUUCUCUCCUCCUGAUGCGACACGUCAGCGGUAUGUGGGUUCCACUUUUUUAAAGUGUGAAAAAGUGUCAAAUAUGUGAUUCGAGCCCAGGUUAUUGAGAUAUAAACAUCCACAAUUAUACCACUGUCCUAAAUGAUACUUUGUACAAUGAUGGCUGAAACUAAUAUAGAUUAUGAAGGUCGAAAAUUAAUAUAACAUUGUGGACCACACCUCUCUUUUUUUUUUGAAUUGAUGGGUAACGAAUGGACUUCGACAAAAAGUGGGCUUUGGGCUUAUUGAUUUUCUGUUUAUUAGGCUUUGUAUCUGCCCAAAGUGGUGAUACGGACAAAGCUAAGAAGAUUAGGGAAGCCGCCAUCUUCACUAUCUCAUUCGUCGCUUGCGAUUCUCCUUCCAGCAAUCAGCUAUUAUGGUCGAUCUUUAAGGCUCUAUGCACGUUUUGCGCCUACCAAACGCUUAGUUUCUCCUCUAACGCCUUCAGAGCUCUCAUAUAUAUAGAAUCCCUCGAUGUAAAAGCUCCAUCUUGUCUCAAACUUUUCUUUCUCAGUUUUCCGAUCGCUUUAUUUUCGCGAAGCGAAAACGACUUAUCCAGCUGCUCCAACCGCUUCAGCCGCCAUUGCCGCCGUUCCCUACUCCACCUUCAACUCUCUCCGCCUUGGAAGGUCCACUCAGUCCAUUGUUGGUCGGCUCAUCCGAUUCUAGGAUUCCAGGAACAUUAACAAGAAUAGAGAGUUUAUGGGCAUCACCAUUCUCCUCCUUGAUGAACUGGUGAUAAUUGUUUCUAACUUAUUUUUUAUCACUUUAACUCUGCUUUGCUUAUUCUUUGUUCAUAUAUGAAACGUGUCUUCAUGUUUUUGUUUUGGUUUUGUCUAUGGGUUUUUUUAUGAACAACUAAUGAUUUUUCUCUGUUUUUCUUACAUGAUUCUGUGAUCCACAGUUUCAUCCCUGCAAUCUCCAAACAAACAGGAAAACUGAAUGAAUUAUGUUUUUAGCAACCGAAUCUAAAAGAAAUAAAAGACAUCUUACUUAACAAAUUAAAACCUUUUAUUUUGCAGAUUCCGACGACGACGAAGCACCCGAGGACCAACGACAAUGGAAUGAUGCGGACGAAGCCUAACUGAUGGGGCAGAUCUCCUUAGAAGGGGAGCCACUCGCCAUGAUGCUUCCAGUUUCACCAUUCUUGAAACUCUUAUGAACCACAAAGCCAAUAUAAGAGCUCUGUUUCAAUCCAACGGCUGGAUUUUGUCACAGACCACCGCUAAGCCUGAAGAGGGAAGAGAAGUGGAGUGCUGCGUUUUGGAAGAUGGUUACUUGGAGUUUACAAGAUGAAGAUGAAACCCGUGACGAGGAAGACGAGGAGAAGUGUUACUUGGAAUAUCCUAACUUUGAGGAUGUAGACAAUGUGUGAUCUUAGCGAUGAAGAUUAGUGUAGCUUUAAUAUACGCUACUACGGUCCUUGAGCUCCCUAACAAGUACUAGCAAACAAUAUGUAUUUUGAAAAAAUAAAAUAAUUUUGUAAUGCAAGUAGUUUAAAACUUUGAGUAUUUAUUCAAACAACGGAUAUAUACAGAGUUAAUAACUUGAUAUAGACCCCCAAAUAAGUUGGUGUUGCGCUGUCACAAUAUCUGUCUUUUUAAUUUCAUAUACCUGACGUAAGCUUCUUCAUCUUCUUAUCUUUCCCUUUCCGUUGUUCCACGCUUUCUGUUUCAUGUUUAGGCCUUUUUCACAUUCUCUAUAUUUUACCUUAAUUAUACGUUUUGAAUUUUCCUUCCGUUUUGGGAGAUGUCUCUAACUUGAGUUAAUCGUCAAAAGCUAAGAUCAAUUUUGUUGUCUUAUUUCCGAUAAAUUUUAUUCUUUAAUUUGCACAAAUCUUAAACAACACCAACAUCUCGUAAAUCAUACCGUCCCACCGAUAUCUAAAGUAACCAGCUCCGCACUUGCGCGGGGUCUCAGCACCUAGUUGUAAAUAAAUAAACGAGUAUCGGUUGAAAGAUAGGACAUUAUUUACUGAAAUGAAGGUUUGACCAAAAAAAAAAAAAUUUUACUGAAAUGAAUUAGAAUACUAUAAAGGAUGUUUUAUUGCAGGGAGAGAAAUGCCAAACAAUCAAACAUCAACUUUAUUCGUAAGUUUAACUUUCAUUAUUGUUACUCCAAAGUACAGAUGCAAAUCAAUCUCACGUACUCAAUAUGUUUGAGUUUAUAAACUUUUAUAAAUCUUACUCGAUUAAUAUACCCUUAUAAAAAGUUACGAGAUAAAUAUGUUUCUUCGUCUUAACUGAUUGUAGUUUGAUAGAGGCUUAUCUAAUCAAUCUCCUAAGAAAGAAAUUCACCUUUACAAUGGUGUGUGUAGUUUUAUAGGCGUCUAUCUUGAGGAUACAACUAUCGAUAUCCGUACAACACACCCGUACCGAAACCCUAGCGCACUUCUUUUCUCUUUUUUUUUCAAAAACGAUUAUAUAUAUAAAUCUGCCUGAAAUCGGGAAUAAGAUACGGUUACAAGCUUGUUUUGAACAAAAUGUUGAAAUCAAACUAUUACAAACCUAGCUUCGCCCACCCACUAAAUCUGGCACAUUCUGCUAGGUUGUUUUUCGAAAUCAUCCGACAUUGGUAACCAUUCUCAACCAUCUACGUGACUCUUGGGAAAGUGAAGUUGUCCUCGUUUUCUCGGAUGCCGGGAGUUCCCUUGACAUUUCCGGAGUAGCUAGUUCCCGAUGAUCUCCACGAAACUCAUAACUUUCUCUGUCAACGAAGCAAGCUUUAUUCUGAGUUUUCCUUCUUUAACUUAUUAUGGAGAAAAAAAAAAGAUUAAAUCCAAUUAAUUGUGAGUAAUAUUAUCUCUUUUUUCUUCCCCCCUCCCCCUUCUUCUCAUAUUGCUUUUGAUCACUUUAUAUAAUGACUCAAGUGAUGCUUUUAAUCAACGUAUACUCUAAUUCAAGCGGUGCCUUUAAUCAACGGUAUAUAUUGAUUCAUAACCGACAUGUUUUGUCUGAUGCGUUGCUUCCUCUAAUUAAUUAAAGUCUUAACAAUUAUGAAGUAUGAUUCAUAUCUAACUGCUAUCUCCGAGGUUUUCUUGAACAUUAUUCCAUUUCGAUGAUUUUAUAGAUACCUUCGUUGUAUUAAUGAUCUAAUUUUAUUUUCAUAAUUUUGUUCAUCAUUGUGAGUUGGUGGACAGCUUUUCAACAUGACAGAAGUAACUCUAACCGUCAGUAUGUUAUUAUGUGACAAAAAAUUUUUAGAAAAACAAAAAUUGAUAACCAACAUAGAAAGUUUUUAUUAUAACCAACAAUGAAACUUUCCAUAUCAACAUUAACAAAUGAAUUGCAUGGAUAUAAAUUGAUAUGGAAAGUUUCAUUUUUAAAUGUAAUUCUACAUUUUUUAUUCAAUCAAAAUUAUAUUUCUUUAAUAAUUUAGUACAACUUUUUAAAACUCAAAUGGACUCGUAUUUUAUUAUUAUGUUUGUUUAUGAUUAGAUGAGUAAGAUAUUAUCUUAAUCACAAACAGUCACAUGCAAUGCAUUCAAAAUCCCAUGAUAAGCAUGGAUAUCUCGAGUAAUGUAAAAGAACCUCAACUCAAACUGACAUCCUCGUUAAUUAAAUACAAUUAUCGAUCAUAUAUGUAUAUGUCUUAAUACAGAUAAUUUAUAAUUGAAUAUGUGAUCAUCAGUGCAUUGGGCAUAUACAUAACAGACAGUUUGAAAUUUUUGCGGGACAAAAAGACUUAAAAACGUUAUUAAGCUAACUUGGUCGGAGUCAUGGGACCCAUAAUAGCAUCUAAAGAAAAUCUACGAAGAGGGGACAACCAAAUCUUCUUUUGCCAAGUCUUAUGAAACUAAACUAAACAAAAUUCAACAAGACUUAAAGAAGUUCGUUAUUGUUCUUUUUUUUUUGAACAGACUUAAAGAAGUUCGUUAUUGUUAGUAGAAAACGGUGUGUCGCUUCUAAGGGCAUCAGUAUUGGGACUUCUUAAGCCCACUUCUUAGUAUAUUUGGGUCGAAAUUUAAAUCAAAAAGGCUGGAUAUGUUUGGAAAAACUUCUAAGUUAAGAAGUUAUUUGGCUCGUCCUUCAGGGGCACGUGUCGCAAGUGGACGGUUUGCAAACACGGAAACGGGUGUGUCUCUCUCUCUUUCUCUCUCUCUCUCUCUUUCUCUCUCUCUCUCUCUCUCGUUCGUCACAUUUCUUUCUUUUCUCGAUCUCUCUCGACACCGAAGGCACCAAAUCGGAAGCGUUGACGACGAUUCGAAGAUAGCUAAUAUUAUGAGAGCAUGUAUCAUAUUCCAUAAUAUGAUUGUCGAAGAUGAACGACGUACAGACGAUCAAGAUGAGACGUUUCAAGAUCAGGAUGUUUCAUUUUGCGUUAAGAUGCCUACAGAGAUUUUUAGUUCACUUGAUCGUCGAGCAAGAGUUUGGGGUAAGACCAGUCCAUCAACAAUUGAAACAUGAUUUGAUCGAACAUAUAUGGGAUAAAUUUGGGCCUUAAAAUUAAAAUCGGUGGCUUUUAUGUUAUUGUAAUUUUUUCUAACUUUGUAAUUUUUUUUCAACUUUGUAAUUUUUUUUUCUACUUUGUAAUUUUUUUUUCAACUUUGUAAUGUUCUUAUGUUUAAUGUUAUAUGUUUUAUUUUAAAAUCCUACCAAACAAUUAUCAAAAAAAAAACAAAAUUUAAUAUUUUGCUAAGAACCUACCAAAACUUCUACCAAUAAUUUUUACUUUUACUCAUGUACCUUACCAAAAUCUCUUAAUCUAAUGGCCUAUUUAGCUAGAAAUCAAAAUUCAGGGUGGUAAUUGCAGAUCUAUGCAAACUUUUUAAUAAUUGGCGAACCAUGACAAUUUUUCCAUGAGUUGCCAAUUAUCUCCUUUACCCACACCUUCCUCGUUACCUGCUACCCGGGUUACUCGCAAAUAAUUAAAUUUGUAUUGAAAACGCAAUACACUUGGCGAAACCGGUUACAUUAAUUUAAAACUAUGAUAUUAGAUAUAGCAACCGGAUGUAGCUCUAAUAAUUAAAGAGAGAAGAGUUUUGAUAUAUUUUACAAAUUGUUAGGACGGAUGCUAAAGUUACCGGUCAACAAUAUUUUGACCUCUCGGUUUCACUAUCAUUUUCCCGGACCUCGCCUUUCAACUGCAUUUCCGAUCUGGUUCUGGGUCUUCCGUUAUGUUCACCCAGUAUUAAUUCGUAGUCUGGUAAAUUUGGGAACUCUUCAGGUUGUUUGCAACCGAAUAUACCUACAAUGAUUGCAGAUAGAAGAGCUGUGAGAUAUUUUACAAAUUGAUGUGACGGGCGCGACAGUGUUAUGAUAUUUUUUCCAUUAAAUUAUUAAAAUUUUCUCGUCAACAACAUUUUGACGUGUCAGUCGACAUUGUGUAUUAUUUAGUUGUGGAUAUGAGGACACUUUUGGUAUUACCUCAUUUUGCACAGUCUCUCUACCAGAUAUCCAAUUACCUUCCAUAACUUUGCUAUCUAGUGCAAAUUCCCUAAUCUAAUUAUAUUAUUAAAGUAAUACUAAGAUAUGCAAUUGCAUAUCUAGCAAUGCUGAUGCCCUAAGGUGCAAUGUAUUCUUCCUCUUGUGUGGCCCUUAAACAUGUCCACGUGUAUGGCUCUCCGGGGUCGAAUUCUCCUUGCCUUCUUGUGAGGUGGAAUGUUCUCGACAUGAUAUUUAUUUACAUUAUUAAUUUUGUACAAAUUGACAUGUUAGUGAUGAUUAUUGUUUUAGAUGAAGAAAACGAAAAUGGAAGUGCUGAUAUUUUUGUUUUUGAAUUUCGAGCGAAUCUUGUAUUAUGAUUCUUGCACAUAUUGUUAUGAAGCUGAUCCAUUGCAUGCGUUGAGUUGUUUUAUGCUAUUAUUACUUCGAAAGCAUCUCAAUGCACAUUGUUUACCUAAUUAUUUUUUAGUUAAAUUUUGGUAAUCUUAGUUAAUUUUUCUAUGUACGGGACAAUCAAAGCAGACAAUAUUCGAACACUGAAAGACAUGUUGCAAACAUAUACUAGCUAGUUUGAGACCACUAUUUAAUGACAAUGCUUAAUUUAUUGGUUGAAUUCAUGUACAAUAUUAAAUACCAAGAUAGCAUAAGAAUGUUGCCAGAAAAAAACUUGCAUAAUUGAGUUGACGAACUAGGCUGAUAAUUUCGCAACCACGUGCAAGCCCUUGGGCCAUAUUAGUCUACGAAACAGAAGUCUGAAUAAGUAGUUACUGGUUGGUUCUUUCUCUUUAUCUCAUAUGGUUGACCAAUAGUUAAGUGAUAUUAUUGAUUUGUCGAUAUGUAAGCAAUUAUAGACAAUCCAAAAAUUAACUAAAAUCUGGAUUAAACAUCCUAGCAGAAUAUUAUAUAAAAAAAUUAUCAGUGUUUUCUGUUUUAAAUGCCCUGAAUCUUGGUAUAUACGGUGUUUCUGCAUCUGUUGGGAAAACGUCCAAUUAGUAUUUCAACUCUAAACAUAUGCUGAAAGCCCUUUUACAAAAAAAAGAAAAAAAAAACUCUAAACAUAUGCGAUGAUUAUUAGUAUCUGAAAUAAAAGGUGCAUGUGUGAAAACAUAUUUUCAUUUGUUUUUUUUUAAAGAUUUCCAUUGUCAAACUACUAUUGUGGUCAAUAAUUUCAAUACAACAUGACAUUAUUUGAACUGUUGAUUAAGAUGACUUGAAUUGCUAAGUCAGCUGUCAUAUUAAUUGAGUUGUCUAGACUUGCAAAGUCAUAUGCCAUGUUAAACAUCACAUUAUUCAAACUAAAAACAAUCUCUUUAAAAAGACAAAAUUAUAAUCAUCGCUAUUGUAAGGUUUGACUAGCAUUGUAUUUAUUAAUAGUUGCUAGUCAAACUAUAUUUUCAUUUGAAACACUAUAUUUAUUAAUAAUUAUCGGUCACAUUUUAGUUGCUUUAAUAUGCAGCUAAAAACACAUGAGAGAUCAAAUAUGUUUAAAGACACACUCUUGAGCUCAAAUAUGUUUAAAGAUGGACUUUGGGAAACUAACUCGAGUUCGAACCAGCUACAUAUAACACUUUAACAUAUGUGGCCAUAAGGAUAUGAAGGUAUACUUUGGACUCAUCUAAAUAAUCGGAGAAAGGAUCCAUAUGUGAAUUAUACUUCUCUUUGAAAAUUUGUCUGAAACAUUAUAUAGAUCUGUAAUACCUCCACAUUAAUAAAAAAAAAAACAAUUUAUAAUUAAUCUUCACUUUUGAGACAUAAAUCUCAGCCAGCACAAUAGAUUCAUGAAAAAUGUGAAAGAUGAAGUAAACUUAGGACACCAUUGGUACAAAUGAGUCCAAAGAAAUUAACAACUACAAACAAAUGGAAGGCAAGAGAAGAAAGUGAAUAAUUUUGAUGGGAUUUUUAUAUACAAAUAAGACUAUGUACAUUGGUUAAAUAUUUUUGACGCACUAUUCUUCACUUUUAUCAUUCCACAUCAUCUUUUUCACCUCCACAUAAUCAUUCAUAAUACAUCUAAUUUUUAUAUAUUUACAAUAUUUUUUUUAAGGAAUCAAACACUUUAUUCAUCUAUUAUUAUUUUAUAUUUAUAAAUAUUUAAAUUUUAUGAUUAUAAAUUCUUAGACUUUAUCUUACAAACAAUUAUCUAAAAAUAUAAACAAAGAAUAUUAGAAAAUAAAAUAAAAUUUAUAUAUAUAUAUAUAUGUGUGUGUGUGUGUGUGUGUGUGUCUCUGUGUGUGUGUGUGUGUAUGUAUUUGUGUGUGUGUAUCCAAAUCCAAAAAAAACAAGUCUCUAUUUAUAAAACACAAAACAAUAAAUUUUAAUAUAAUUAAAAAAACAAUUUAUUUAUUUAUUACAAGCUAAUAGGCUUAAAAUAAUAAGGGUUAAAUAAAUAUACAAACAAUCACAAGAACCAAUAAUAUGGUGACAUAUUGUAAAUAUGGAUUCACUUUUGAAGUUUCAACUAGUUGAAAAGAUUCAACUACAAAUAAUCCACGUAACCUUCACAACCUUUUCAACAUCUUUAUUGUAAGCAUUCAACAGCUUAAUAAAUUAUUCAACACCUUUGUUGUACAUAGUCUAAAUAAAUUAAAUUCAAAUAACUAAAUGAAUUUUUUUUGUAUAUAAAUAUGAACUCAAGAAAUUAGUUCUACUAAAGAAGAUGAAAGGUGGAAGACAAAAAAAAGUAUUGGUAAACUACAUCAAUUAUCUUACCGAUUAUUAUCUCCUUGAUCAGUGUUGGAGAUGGUUUGUAUCCUUCAACAACACUCAUCAAGUAACUAAACUCGGUCCAUUUUUUUUAAGAGACGGUAUAAAGUUACGCUGAUUCGGAGGAAAUGAAAGAGUUGGUCAGUAAUAAUAGAACUUUAGAUUUUUAAAAGGUCUAAACAUUAUUUUGGUUUGAUUUUUAUCGGUAUGGUAACUAGUUCUAAAACCAAUUUCGUUUACUUAAAUUUCCGAAAUGGAUAAAAAUGCCUUUUUAGGUUCUCUACUAAAGACGUUAAGUACAGUCAUUUCACUAUAUAACACUAUAUAUGUAUAUAUAAUUUAAAUUUCAUAACAUUUUUUUGUUAUAUAUAGUGAAUAUAAAAUUAAAUGAAAAGCAAUAUGUGGCAUUGUCGUUCAGUUUCAGCGAGAAUGAGUUUGUUGUCGUCAAUUUAACAUAACCAUUAAAAUUAAAUUUUAUAUUAAUGUUUCGCAUAUAAUAUGUGGGAUCGUCGAAUUAAGAGUAUUUUAAUGUAAAACUUAAUAUUUUUCCAAAAUAGAGUAAUAUCCAUUAUAAAGUUGAGUUUUACUCUAAUUCCGUUUUAUUUUGGAAUGAAAAGUGGAGUAAUGAACAAAAACUAAAAGCAUUACUCUAUUUAUGGAGUAAACUUAUUGUUUAUUUUAUUUUCAAAUGGAGUUAGAAUAUUUUUUACUCUAAACUCUAUUUUAGAAUCAAAUAUGAAGUAAAGUUGGAAAUGAUCUAAUAUCUUUAAUUUAUACAUAGACAACCGUUAUGUUAUUAAAAGUCACAAGUAAGUUUUUUUUAAUAACAGAUGAUUAACUAAACCAGUCAAGUAGGCUACCAGAUCGCGGAUCAAACUGACUCAAAAUAUGUAGCACUGGAUCUACUUCGGUUAUAGACUCCUCCAAUCCAUACUAAAAAUGCACUGUAUCCAUAUGUCAAUAUUUGAUUGCUUUGAUAAAGUGAGAAGGAAACAGUAACUAUCACAAGGAAAACGAAUUGCGAGCUUGUAAUAUACAGAGUCUUCUCAUUGUAUUGAAUUGUCUUUUCUGCAACAAAAAUCAAUUGAUUUUUAUGGUCAGUCUAUCAAAGAGAUACUUUCUUUUUUGACAACAAACAGAGAAUUAACUCAAGAGAUGGUCUGAAAAAAAUCUGGAAAUCCUGCACUAUUCACUUUCUUGAUACUUUUUCCGAUAACCACCAAUGUGAGAGAACUGUAGAUGUAGAGAAACCAAAAAAUAGUGUUCAAAAAAAAAAAAAGAGAAGUUACAAAGAGAGAAGUAGCCAAGUAGGUCAAAUAUUCAUUUGAGUGGUUAUCAUCUCUGCAUAGACUUUAGUCUCAACAGUUUAAAGUCGGCUACUUCUUAGGUCAACAGUUUACACCAUCUCUCUCUUAUCUUUUAUUUCGGAAAGGAUAUACAUGUAUUGACGUAAUGUAUUGACGUUAACAUACGUUAAAAUUAAUUUUAAAUGUAUUGACGUUAACGUAAGAAAUGUUUGACAUGUUUCUCAAGUUAACAUGGUCCAUACACUAUUCAGUUACCUUGUAACUUGAACGAUUUGAUAAAAUAAAGAAAACAUAAAACCCCAAAAAUGGAAGUAAACUAACGAGGCAGAAAAUAAAAAUAUGAAAAUAUAUGUGGAGAUGGAGGAGGACACGAUGGUCAGGGCUUGUGUAGCUAACGCCAUACCGAAGUGGAAAAAU